rnacentral:rRNA from 1 species
AUUGAACGCUGGCGGCAUGCCUUACACAUGCAAGUCGAACGGCAGCACGGGAGCAAUCCUGGUGGCGAGUGGCGAACGGGUGAGUAAUGUAUCGGAACGUACCUUUCAGUGGGGGAUAACGUAGCGAAAGUUACGCUAAUACCGCAUAUUCUGUGAGCAGGAAAGCAGGGGAUCGCAAGACCUUGCGCUGAUUGAGCGGCCGAUAUCAGAUUAGCUAGUUGGUGAGGUAAAGGCUCACCAAGGCGACGAUCUGUAGCGGGUCUGAGAGGAUGAUCCGCCACACUGGAACUGAGACACGGUCCAGACUCCUACGGGAGGCAGCAGUGGGGAAUUUUGGACAAUGGGCGCAAGCCUGAUCCAGCCAUG